ensembl:lncRNA
CUACCAGUAUAUCUCUGUGGGGAACAUUAUUGAAAAGCUGCUUCCAGUGACCUCUCAAGGGAAAAAGAUUUUUCCUUUCAGUCAACAUGCACUACUACAGAUCUGUUACAGAGUCACAAAUCAGAUCUACUGGUGAAGUUGAACUUGAACGCAUCUCCAGUCAUGAUUCUCUUUACCACAUACAGACUUUAUGAAUGUGGAGUGAGACUGAUCUUUCCAAGUGUAUUUCACCAAAAAGGCAGGACUCAUGGAAAAGGUAGCUGCUCUCAGAUCAUCCUAAGCUCACAUUAAAGAAUGUACUGACACUUGCUAUCUGAGAAGUCUAUGCCUGCUUAUCUUUUUCAUUUUUGCAUGAUACAUUCACAAAGUCCUCAGAAAUUAAGAGUAUCCUGUGAAGGCAAGAUACAAGCUGGCAGUCUCCCUGCUUCCUCUUCUCUGCUGACUUAAAUUUGCAAGGCCUAGAAGAUGGGAAAAAGAGUUCCUGCAGAGAUCCCAAAACUAGUAGUCAUUACUCCAAAAGAGCUGACCUGACCACUUUGGACUAUAAGCAAGACAUCAUCAUCAACAGUGGAAGAACACAGCUUUGGACAAACCACCAUUACUGAAGGUCAUUACCUGAGACCAAGACAUCACUGGAACAAGUUGUGGUGAACCACAUCACUUUGCUGUGUUAUCUGUCUUUCUGUCUCUCUCUCCCCGUCUUUUCUCUUUAUCAUUCUUUAUUCUUUUACUCUUUGUAGUAGUCAUUGCCUAAUAUUGUCUUACCUGUAAUGCUUAUUAAUCAUAAUUAGAAAAUUAGCAAAUUUUAUCUCCGAGUAGAGCAUUAGUUGUUGUUAAGAAAGCUCUCAGUAAAUUGAUGUGUAUUGUUCUUCAGAGUCUUGGAUGACUCCAUUGUUGUAGCUAUCCCUUGCUGGGGUCACCUUCCUCUCUACUUCCCCAGGUCAGGAAGCUGUAGAGAGCAAUGAGAUUGCCUCUCGGCUUCCUUUUUUUCAGACUAGACAAGUGUCCUCAGCCCUUUUACCAGUCCUGAGGACCCCUUUAACCAGUUUGUUGCCCUCCUCUGAAUACAUCUAAGGAACUUAUUAUGUUUUUUAUAUCUUGGAGCCCAGAAAUGACCACAACGUUCGAGGUGAGUCCACCACAGUGUUAAUUAUAAUGGAAGAAUCACCUCUUUUAACCAGCUGGCUAUGCUUUGCUUACUGCAACCUAAAAAGCUGUUUGGCCUCUUGACUACCAGAGCACACUGCUAACUUAUACUGAGCCUGCUGUCACCAGUUCCUUUCUGCUAAGCUGCUCUCCAGACACCUGUCUCCCACUCUGUACCUGUGUCCAGUAUUACUCUGUCCCAGAUGCAAAGCACAGCAUUUACCCUUUUUAAAUUUCAUGCCACUACUGAUUGUUCAGUGCUUUAACCUAUCUAGAUCCCCCUGCAAUGCCUUUUUUCCAUCCAAGAAAGCCAACAGCACCUCCCAGCUUACG